rnacentral:rRNA from 1 species
GAAUUGAAUUAAUUAUUAAAAUUUAAUUAGUUAAAUUUUUGUUAAUAAAAAUAAUUUUAUAUUGAUUAAAUAUUUUGAAAAGUAUAGUUUAAUUAUAGUUAAUUAGUAUUGUAAAAGAAAUAGUUAAAAUUUUAAAAAGAAAAAUUUAAUUUUUGUACCUUGGGUAUCAGGGUUUAUUAAAAAAAAUUAAUAAGUUAAUUUUCUCGAAUUUAAAAGAGCUAAUUUAUUAAAAAUUUUAUUGUAAAAUAAUUAUUUAAAAUAAUAAAUUAGUAAUGAAACGUUAUUCGUUUUUAAAUAUAUCUAGUUUUUAAAGAAAAAAGUUUAAUUUUGGUUUUAAUAUAUAUGGUUAUUUUUAAAUAUAAUAAUAUUAUUAAUUUUUAAUUUUUUAAGGGAUAAGCUUUAAAAAAAAAUAUUAUAAUUCAAUUAAAAUAAUUAUAAUUAAUAAGAUUAAAAUUUUCUAUUUAUAAAAAUAUGUUAUAAUUUAUUAUAAAAAAAAUUAUAUUUAUAUUGUAUUUAAAUAAUAUAUUUAAAUAAUAUUUUUAAUUAAAAAAAAUAUUUAAUAAUGAUAAAAUUAGUAUAAUUAAUUGUAUUAAAUAAAUAAAUUUUAAGGUAAAUUUAAAGAACUCGGCAAAUUUAUUGUUCACCUGUUUAAUAAAAACAUGUCCUUUUGAUAAUAAUUUAAGGUUUAAUCUGCCCACUGAAAUUUAAAUGGCCGCAGUAUUUUGACUGUGCUAAGGUAGCAUAAUAAAUAGUUUUUUAAUUGAAAGCUGGUAUGAAUGAUUGGAUGAGAUAAUAACUGUUUCAAAUUUAAUUAAUUAGAAUUUUAUAUUUAAGUAAAAAAGCUUAAAUAAUUUUAAAAGACGAGAAGACCCUAUAGAGUUUUAUAUUUUUAUUUAAUUUAAAUUUUUAAUAAAAUU